rfam:Flavobacterium frigoris strain DSM 15719 genome assembly, contig: Ga0131223_109
UACAUACCGCGUGAGUGAUUGCAGCGGAAAUCCUCUCUCGUCUCGUUCUUAAAACGAGACGAGAGAGAUUGAGAGCGAAAAGCACGACCCUUG